CAGUCGCCGCGGUAAUACAGAGGGUGCAAGCGUUAUCCGGAUUCACUGGGUUUAAAGGGUGCGUAGGCGGAUCUGUAAGUCAGUGGUGAAAUCUCCAGGCUUAACCUGGAAACUGCCGUUGAUACUAUAGGUCUUGAAUUUUGUGGAGGUUAGCGGAAUAUGUCAUGUAGCGGUGAAAUGCAUAGAUAUGACAUAGAACACCAAUUGCGAAGGCAGCUGGCUACACAACUAUUGACGCUGAGGCACGAAAGCGUGGGGAUCAAACAGGAUUAGAUACCCCCGUAGUCCCUGUCUCUUAUAA
rnacentral:rRNA from 1 species